AGAACACCUAAUCUUCUGAUUAUGGUCACCAUCAUGUUUUGGUUUCUGUACUUGACUACUACAUGACAUUGAGAAGAACUGAUGUAUUGGAAACUGUAAAUGGCAGCUUUACUAUUCCUGACGUGAACUGAGCGACUCCUGCCACGGUGAAGUAAACUUUACUGUGUACUCUUCGCCUUCACUCCUUGGUCCCUCGCAGAAAGCCAGAAGAAACCCCCGUUGUACUUUGCCACAAGCCAGAUAGGUCAAAGCAAACAUGAAGAAGGUGCUCUGGUCAGAUACUAAAAUUAAACUUUUUAGCCCACAUACAAAA